CUCUUGAGACCAUCUAUCGUCUUCCUUUUUUACCUUUUGUGUCGUUUCACCGUAUGAAGUGGAAGCAACGGUACUCGCUAAACUAAUAGAAAAAAGCAGACUUGCUACCUAUGAGCUUGACCGUGCGAAAGAUAAACGAACGAUCGGAAUGCGUAACAAAAAUUUUUCCUAUUCCAUAUUCGGUUUAUGUUCAUCGUGUAUUUAUGUAUAUGUUAGAAGUAAAGAUAAAAGUAGUAACAAAAAUAAUUCUUAAAGUUACUAUCGGUAUAGAUAUAAAUGGAUCAUAAAUUUCGAUUCGUCGCUCGUUACUUUAAGAAUGGAGAAUAUAAAGGAUAGCAAACAUUACUAAGCAGGUGGUGUUCCGUUCAGGUCCCUACACCACCGUCGAACGAAAGAUUCAGGUAUAGACCGUUCAACAUUGUCAGAGAAUUCUCUUUCCUGGAAUGAUUUACAGCAACUAUUCUACCGAAAGAUGACAGUUACGUACCUCUUCUUCUUUCUCUUCUUUCCUUUCUUUUUCUUUUCUUUUCGAUAAUAGUAUGAUAUUUUAUACCCAUAGAGCUUAACUUACUUCUCCUAAUAUCUUUCUAUCUUAUUUUUUAAGAUCUUUUGACAUUCAUUAACUGCUGUCAUAUAUCAAACUAUAUAAUCGACUAUGUUAUCUAUUUCUAUUGUUAUAAAAUAAUGUAAAGAUGGACGAUAGUUACACACAAACACAGACAUACGUUCAAUCUGUAUCGAUAUCAAAUGUUUUACCUGCGUCUCAUUGAAUCUGUCGAUCUAAUAAACAAAUUAGACGGAUUAGUUCUAUAUACGUAGUUCACUUUGAUAAGCACUCUCCGCGUUUGCCUUGGAUUGCUCGAUAAAAGAUAAAAGGGGAGUCCGAUUAUGCCGCUAAAUGGCGCGGAUUGACUCGGGGGGAACGACGAGAAUACGGCUUAUUUAUUUUUAUACCGAAAACUUAACGGCGUCCUCCUCUUUUCUCUCGUCCUUCUCUCCCUCUCUCACUCUUUCUCUUAUGUGGAUAUAACGUACGCACACCAUGAGUUAAAUAUACCUUGUUAAACGGCUAAUUAGGCCUUAAUAAGAUCGGUUCGGCCAGAGCACUCACACGAGAAUCCAGGCCAAUGGUACGGCAAGUCUCGGUGGAACUUUUGAUAAAGCGACGAUAGAAUUCUUCUUACGGCGUCUGCACAAGUUAUCAUCGAGCAUCUUCGAGCCGGUAACUUUGUUCUUUCGGGGAUCAUUAUCAACCCAGUCUCUUUUUCUAUGGUAUGAGAUACAUAGGUAUAUAAAUAUUUAGGUACUUAUUAAGACAACGUUUUCUCAUCAUUUUCGCAUUAUACGAUGAUCAAUACAUCUUUCGUUGUUAGAUUGUAAAAUGUACGUUUCAUAAAGAAUUCAGAGAGAAACUCGUGAUCGUGGCAGGAUCAAUGUAUCAAAUCCUUUUUUUGUUAACUUAUACAAGAAGAGAAUCUGAUGGUAAAAGAAAAUCGAGUCGGGGACUGCAAAAAUGCAUGAACGAAUAAAGGAGAGGAAGAAAGAUGAAGAGAAAAAGAAAAGAAAAGAGAAAGACGGAGAGAGAGAGAGAGGGAGAGAGAGAGAGAGAGAGAGAGAGAGAAAGAAACUACAUAGCGGCGGUGGAAUAAAAGAUUAUACGAGGGAUUCUUCGUUGAAUUCUUGCUGGGAGUAUCGGACGCGUUUAAAAACUGCCACAGCGGAGUAGUCUACGUCGACGAAGGAAGGAGAAGCAAGAACGUGUUCCCUCGCGUUCUCCAAGUCAACGACGUCUACUCUACUCUUUUCUCUGUCUCUGUGUCUUUCUCUCUUCCUCUCUCUCUCUCUCUCUCUCUCUCUCUCUCUCUCUCUCUUUCUCUCUCUUUACCGUACGAAAGAAAGGUAUAGAGGAACGUUAACCAACGAAGCAUAAAAUAAACGCUCAAAUCGAAGUCCCUGGCAAACUUACCUAUUGAGGAUCUCGUAGUAUUUCCUUCAAUAGUUAAAAUAUACCUUCCUGAUAGUUAUUAGUUCGUUUCUAUGAUACUAAAUCUCUUCUAAAAAGUGAAAUAGUUGAAGUUGCUAUAGCAAAGAUUUAAUUGUUAGACUAAACGAAUCGAAAUAUCGGCUAAUUUUCAAAAGACACAGAGAUCUUUUAUCAAAAGUGAAUUUAAUAUAGAAUUUGUUGAUAAUGUUCCCACGAAUCGGUAACGAGUAGCUAAGAUGUAAAGGGAACAAGCUAAGGUCAACACCACUUGAACCGAUCCCGAUGACUAUGAUCGCGAGCAAUGACGCAUCGGAACCGCGUUUCAUCUUACAUUACAAACGUUACCAAAGGAUUUGAUCGGCCUUAAGAAAAUAGAUACCGUAGAGGUAUCAUACUUAACGAAAAACUAUGUCCAAAAUAUCCUCAGUUACCUUCAUGUUUAACUGAUCUCAUAAUCAUUAUAAUACUAUGUAAACGGAUCGUUGAGAGUUAACGUUAACUUAUCUCGAAGGAACUUUAGUAGGAUUGGAUGUUCAGCAAUUGAGUUAUCUCUGCCAGUACGACGACAGCCAGCGGCAAUCAGGGUCGAGCGACAAUGCAUUCACCUCGUGCAUUGACCACAAUUUAAUUCGUUUGUGUAUCUUCACUCGUCUCAGAUCGAUGCAAAUUUUUCCGCAUAUUUUCUUCUCUUCUUUCUACGGACUCGCAAAUAUCAGUUUCGCAAAAAAUGAUCGAAGGAUUCUUUAUGAACGAUAGAAAGAAAGAAUAUCGGGAGAUCGUAUUUAAAAAUAGAACCAUUUGAGGAAGAGACUCCGUAGAAUUCGAAACCACGUGUCGGGGCAACGUCAGAAGCAACCAGAGAAACUUGGAGCCAAUUACAAAGAACGCAUUCACGAAUGAUUAUAGACAUGAGCCUAUAUAAAGUAGGUGUAUGUUGUACAAGUGUUGUACCGUGCUUAGCCGUAAUUGUUUAAUGGGCUAAUGAAAUGAUAUACCCGCCGAAUCUAAGACCGCACAAAAAGCCAAUUGUGUAUAGCCGACAUUCCACGAUUAGCCUGACUUUAUAAUGUGAGGCAUUGGGCCGCCAGUAAGUUCACGCGCUCUGCCCCUCGAAUGGCCUCAGUCUGACCUCAAGGUAGGACGAUAAUGCACCAGACUCGACAGAUAAUCAUCAAAGCGUUUGUAAGCACAGUCAAAAAGUCGUCGGGUAAAAAUACUACGGUCGUUGAUAGUAGUAGUAGUAUUAGUGGUGAGGCCUGUUCCUGUUCGUGACUACAGGGCCGCACAACUUUAGUUGAUCACGUAAACUUGUAAAGCAACCAACCAACCAAUCAUCAGUCCUUUUUUUGAUUACGUAGAACAGACUUGUUCCAAGAGAUUGAUAGAUCAACAAAAGGAUACUCGCGUCAUCCGCUUAAUUUACUCGACGUACUUUAUUCGAAGUCGUGUCUUAUCUUACUCUUCCAUCCGAAAAGCGUAUGAAGAUAUUCUAUUUCUCUACUUUUCUCUUCCUAUAUGUCUAGCUUGUUAACCGUUUCUCUCUAGAUAUAAAGAAAAUUUAUUUUCUAAGAUAAACAGUAAGAAAUUAUUGAGAAAAGUACCGGAAAAGAUUUAAGAAAAUAAUUAUAACUAACAAACAGGAAAGAUUAUCUUAUUCAAAUAAGAAAAACGAUGAUGAAUAGAACAAAAUUAAUAAAAUAUUUUUACAAAUAUUGUUAUGUCUUAUUGAAAGAAAAAAAUUGAUAUAUUUCUCUUUAAAUAUAAAUGGAUUUUAUUUUCUGAGUUGAACGUUAAAAAAACGUAUUGUUGAAGAGUCAAAAAUGAAAAGUAUUUACUAGUAAAUGGAAAAAAUACAAAAAUUCCCUUUUAAUUUUCUCCAACGGUGGGUGACGCCGAAAUCGCGUUUUACAUAUUUUGUAAAUUUUGCCGGUAACAGGCUAUUAUUACGUUGCAUUGAAUUUUUAAAAAUAUUUAAACAACGGAAAACAUUAUUUCCCCAUCGAAUAAAUUUUAUUAUGCAUUUUGAUAUAAGAAGGAUUUAAUCAACUGUGCUUCCAAGAAAUGUAUUACUUCUAUGAAAUAUAUAUCAUGUACAUACAUAUAUACAUAUACAUAUAUCAUAUACAAAUCUAUACGAGAUAUACAUUUCGUUUUGCGAUUUUGUACAAAAAUCAAACAAACAAAAAAUAUGAAAAUCGCCCGCUGCUGGAGAAUUAAUUCGAAAGACGAUAAACGAAUAGAACGAAAUUAAAUGCUUUUUAAACAAAUAUUAAAAAAACAAAACAAAUGUCUUCGCCAUUAUUCUUAUUUUAUUCUUACGUUACAAUAGUUGAUACCUAUGUAUAUUGUAUAUAUUUACGUCGGUGAACGUUUUAUCUAUCAGCUGCCAUGAAAUCAUUCUAACGAUCGAAAAACGAGUAGACGUCCUUUCUCCUUUGAGUUCGAGCAUUUUUCCCAACAACAAACCAAUAGAUUUGCCGUCGAGAUAAGCGCCGCUACGAAAGCAGAGUUGACAGGACGCGUCUUGGAGUCACGUUUUACAAGUUGUUUUACAAGCAAAGGAUACAACGCCACACGCUGUGAACGGCAGGACCUCCCUCUUUUCGUUACCUUCUCGAGUACCGCUUUCUUUUGUCCGAAAACCGAAAGAUUCGAAGGAUGAAACCUCUUUUAUGCUUUUACGUUACAUAUAGUAUUGUUUUCUCUUUCCUUUUUCAAGAUUUACGUUUUAUCAUUUUUUAUCAUCUUUCGAUCGAUGUAAUCUCUUCACUUUCUAUGAGCGAAAAGCGAAUUUUUCUUAGAAUUCUAACCAAUAAAAAAAUCUAUUAAGGAAUUAUAUAAAUGUA